GACAGCCAGGAUGUUGGCUUAGAAGCAGCCAUCAUUUAAAGAAAGCGUAAUAGCUCACUGGUCGAGUCGGCCUGCGCGGAAGAUGUAACGGGGCUAAACCAUGCACCGAAGCUGCGGCAGCGACACUGUGUGUUGUUGGGUAGGGGAGCGUUCUGUAAGCCUGUGAAGGUGUACUGUGAGGUAUGCUGGAGGUAUCAGAAGUGCGAAUGCUGACAUAAGUAACGAUAAAGCGGGUGAAAAGCCCGCUCGCCGGAA
rnacentral:rRNA from 1 species